UCCCUGGAGGACUAGUGGUUAGGCCACGGCGCUCUCACCGCCGCAGCCCGGGUUCGAUUCCUGGCCAGGGAA
rnacentral:tRNA from 1 species